AUAGAGACUCAGAGCUGCAUAUCAAUAAGCGGAGGAAAAGAAACUAACGAGGAUUCCCUUAGUAACGGCGAGUGAAGCGGGAAGAGCUCAAAUUUGAAAUCUUCAAGGUUUACCUUGACGAAUUGUAGUUUAAAGAAGUGUUUUCUGAUGAAGUUUUGGUAAAAGUUCUUUGGAAUAGGACAUCAUAGAGGGUGAGAAUCCCGUAUUUGACCAUUAUUUUCAGCUGUGUGAUACACUUUCAAAGAGUCGGAUUGUUUGGGAAUGCAGUCCAAAAUGGGUGGUAAAUUUCAUCUAAAGCUAAAUACUGGCGAGAGACCGAUAGCGAACAAGUACCGUGAGGGAAAGAUGAAAAGAACUUUGAAAAGAGAGUUAAACAGUACGUGAAAUUGUCAAAAGGGAAGCGUUUGACCCCAGUGUUGUUUUUCCGAAAAUCAAUUACGAAUGUUUUGUUUUUGAGGAGUUAUGACUUCAUCGGCUUGCUCCUUUCUUUACGAAACUUUCUUAAUGCACUUUUCGGUUAACAAGUCAACAUCAAUUUCUUUUGUUGUAAAAGGGUCAUUGGAAGGUGGCUUUCUUUUCGGAGAAAGUGUUUAUAGCCUUUGGCCUCUGCAAUCGGAGAGAUUGAGGUCUGCAGCGUAGAUCCUUCGGGGUUAGAUACAUUUGUGCUAAGUUAUAGCCUUUCAUAGACAACUUGUUGACUAUGAUCAGUCAUGUAGCUUACUCGCUUAUGCUAUUUUACCUACGCUUAGAAUGUUGACGAUCAGCUGAGCGCG
rnacentral:rRNA from 1 species